rnacentral:rRNA from 1 species
CAGUCGCCGCGGUAAUACGGAGGGAGCUAGCGUUGUUCGGAAUUACUGGGCGUAAAGCGCACGUAGGCGGCUUUGUAAGUCAGAGGUGAAAGCCUGGAGCUCAACUCCAGAACUGCCUUUGAGACUGCAUCGCUUGAAUCCAGGAGAGGUGAGUGGAAUUCCGAGUGUAGAGGUGAAAUUCGUAGAUAUUCGGAAGAACACCAGUGGCGAAGGCGGCUCACUGGACUGGUAUUGACGCUGAGGAGCGAAAGCGUGGGGAGCAAACAGGAUUAGAUACCCCUGUAGUCCCUGUCUCUUAUAC